AUUGAACGCUGGCGGCAUGCCUUACACAUGCAAGUCGAACGGCAGCACGGGAGCUUGCUCCUGGUGGCGAGUGGCGAACGGGUGAGUAAUACAUCGGAACGUACCCUGAAGUGGGGGAUAACGUAGCGAAAGUUACGCUAAUACCGCAUAUUCUGUGAAGCAGGAAAGAGGGGGAUCGCAAGACCUCUUGCUUUAGGAGCGGCCGAUGUCGGAUUAGCUAGUUGGUGAGGUAAAGGCUCACCAAGGCGACGAUCCGUAGCGGGUCUGAGAGGAUGAUCCGCCACACUGGGACUGAGACACGGCCCAGACUCCUACGGGAGGCAGCAGUGGGGAAUUUUGGGACAAUGGGCGCAAGCCUGAUCCAGCCAUGCCGCGUCGAGUGAAGAA
rnacentral:rRNA from 1 species